UCUACUCUAAAUUUUAUUACAAUCUCUCCUCCGUUUUCUCUAUUUUGAACCAAACCUAUUUCUACUCUCUUCCCUCUCCUCCUUCGGUUGAACUCCAUUUGCUUGAUACAAUUUUCUUAAACCCGUGCAACAUUAAACAAUAAAAGAUUUUGUAGAAGGAAUGAAUGCAAAAGAAGAGAUGAAAUCAAUCCUAUUUAUAUAUGCAAAACCAUAAGAGAGACGAAUAAUCAAAACACAUUGUUUUUAUAUAUGCAACCACAAUUGAUAAUAGAUAUAAUCAAAACACAUUGAAAGAUUUUUAAAUUCACAACUAUCUAUACCUUUUUUGUUUUUAUAUACUCAAUGCAAAAAUUCUCCCAACCAGUUUCAUUUGUAAUCUAUUUCAUUAGAAAAUAAGAAAUUAGUUAUGUGAAAUAUUCAACAAUAAAAGAUUUUGUAGAAGGAAUGAAUGCAAAAGAAGAGAUGAAAUCAAUCCUAUUUAUAUAUGCAAAACCAUAAGAGAGACGAAUAAUCAAAACACAUUGUUUUUAUAUAUGCAACCACAAUUGAUAAUAGAUAUAAUCAAAACACAUUGAAAGAUUUUUAAAUUCACAACUAUCUAUACCUUUUUUGUUUUUAUAUACUCAAUGCAAAAAUUCUCCCAACCAGUUUCAUUUGUAAUCUAUUUCAUUAGAAAAUAAGAAAUUAGUUAUGUGAAAUAUUCAACAAUAAAAGAUUUUGUAGAAGGAAUGAAUGCAAAAGAAGAGAUGAAAUCAAUCCUAUUUAUAUAUGCAAAACCAUAAGAGAGACGAAUAAGAAUUUUAAACAAUAGCUAUUUCAUUUUCUCAAAGAGAAAUUACAGAUCUAGAAAUUCUAUCUGGUUGAUUGAAUAUUUUAGAAUUGACAAAAAUUACAAUGCGUGGCUCCAUGAUUGCAUGUAAUUAAGAGUUCUUGGAUUGAAACAAUUAUUAAAGGCGUCGAACGGAGAAUUGAAGGUGAGAGAAUUGAGAAGCGACAAAUAAUUGAGAACGACAAAAGAAGAAGAAAAAGAAACACGACUUAAAGGAAAGACUGAUAUGAAGAGACUAUGAGUUAAAGAUUAUAUAUUUGCUUUGAAGUUGAAACCCGUGGAAAGAGAAAAUUACAAAAAAUUGUUGACUUGGUUUAGGUUUUUGUUUUGUUGAAACAAACUUGAUCUAGGUAAUAAUAGUACAUGCAAUAUAUAAGUUUGCUUUUAUCCAAAAAAUUUUACAAAAAUUAUAAUAAUACUAAUUAAAUUUAAAUAUGUAUUUGGUCCCGCAAAUAUAUCCACUUUUUGUUUUUAUUCCGGUAAGUUUUUUUGUUUGAAUUUAGUCCCCAUAAAAAACGAUCGAAUUUGAUCCGUCAAAUCAACAUUAAAAGAAUGAUGAGUUUUUUAAAAACCCCUAAUUUUCUCUUUUAAUUUCUAUUCAUAAUUUCUUUAUAAAAUAAAACUAAUUAUUAAAUGAUCAAUAAAUAAAUUUAUUAAUUAAUAAUAUAAAACAUUUUAAUGUUUAAUAUAUUCUAAAAAUGAUGUAUUAUUGGUGUGUAUUUAUAAAUCUACAUGGCAAACAAAAAACUUACAAAUACUAAAAUUAUUUAUAGAAACUAAAAAUAUAUUUAAACUUACUAACUAAUAAUUAAUGACCAAGUGAGUAAAAAAAAAAAAAAAAUCAAUGACCAAAAAUUGUACAAGUAAUUGAAUAAAUAAACAAAAAGCAAAAUAACAUAAACAAAUUAUAGUGAUAAUUGCAAGAUUAUUUCUACUUAGUAGAUAAAUGAUGUUUCUCUAAACACUUUGAUUAAAUGACAUUUGUUAAAUUAAUUAUAAUAUAAUAUUAGUUUUAUUCUACUGUAUAGAUAGAUAAAUUUGACCGAUUUAUUUUUCUAAAAGAUUAAAAUUAAAAUUUAUUUUUUUAGAAAACUAUCAAAUUUUAUCAAGACCAAAUUGGGAUAUCUACUCUAAAUUUUAUUACAAUCUCUCCUCCGUUUUCUCUAUUUUGAACCAAACCUAUUUCUACUCUCUUCCCUCUCCUCCUUCGGUUGAACUCCAUUUGCUUGAUACAAUUUUCUUAAACCCGUGCAACAUUAAACAAGGUAUAAGUGUUACUUAUUAUUAGCACAAUAUUGAGUAGAAGGAACAAAAAUGGUGUUCGGUC
rnacentral:lncRNA from 1 species